CUCUGCAAACACGAAAGUGGACGUAUAGGGUGUGAUGCCUGCCCGGUGCUGGAAGGUUAAUUGAUGGGGUCAGCCGCAAGGCGAAGCUCUUGAUCGAAGCCCCAGUAAACGGCGGCCGUAACUAUAACGGUCCUAAGGUAGCGAAAUUCCUUGUCGGGUAAGUUCCGACCUGCACGAAUGGUGUAAUGAUGGCCAGGCUGUCUCCAGCAGAGACUCAGUGAAAUUGAAAUCGCGGUGAAGAUGCCGUGUACCCGCGGCUAGACGGAAAGACCCCGUGAACCUUUACUAUAGCUUUGCACUGGACUUUGAAUUUGCUUGUGUAGGAUAGGUGGGAGGCUUUGAAGCGUGGACGCCAGUUCGCGUGGAGCCAACCUUGAAAUACCACCCUGUCGUGCUUGACGUUCUAACCUAGAUCCGUUAUCCGGAUCAGGGACCGUGUAUGGUGGGUAGUUUGACUGGGGCGGUCUCCUCC
rnacentral:rRNA from 1 species